UACAGAGGGUGCGAGCGUUGUUCGGAAUUAUUGGGCGUAAAGCGCUUGUAGGCGGCACGUCAAGUCGCGUGUGUAAUCCCCAGGCUUAACCUGGGAAGUGCGCGCGAAACUGACGAGCUUGAGUGCCGGAGAGGGUCGCGGAAUUCCCGGUGUAGAGGUGAAAUUCGUAGAUAUCGGGAGGAACACCAGUGGCGAAGGCGGCGACCUGGACGGACACUGACGCUGAGACGCGAAAGCGUGGGGAGCAAACAGG
rnacentral:rRNA from 1 species